GAGGACUGAGUUUAAUUAUCAAAAAUGAAUACUAAUUUUACUAAUAUCUAAACGAUCGAAACUGAAUGAUAAUGAAAAAUAAAAUUAACUCUAAAGAACUCAAUGAAAGCUGAAUCAAAAUUCGAUUGAUAAAGCACUAGGGUAUAUCUGAUUUCACUUGGACCAAUUAUCAAUUCCAGCUAUUCCGAUUAAUAAUCCAAAUUUAAUUAUUAAUGCAAGGAUAAAUAAUCCUAUAUUAUUUAAUAAUCUCUUUCGAGUCUUAUUAAAUAUACUAAUUAAAAUCUAUAAUCUAUCUUUCAAUAAUAAAAU
rnacentral:lncRNA from 1 species